GUUGAACGCUGGCGGCGUGCCUAAUACAUGCAGGUCGAGCGAACAGACGAGGAGCUUGCUCCUUUGACGUUAGCGGCGGACGGGUGAGUAACACGUGGGUAACCUACCUAUAAGACUGGGAUAACUUCGGGAAACCGGAGCUAAUACCGGAUAAUAUUUCGAACCGCAUGGUUCGAUAGUGAAAGAUGGCUUUGCUAUCACUUAUAGAUGGACCUGCGCCGUAUUAGCUAGUUGGUAAGGUAACGGCUUACCAAGGCAACGAUACGUAGCCGACCUGAGAGGGUGAUCGGCCACACUGGAACUGAGACACGGUCCAGACUCCUACGGGAGGCAGCAGUAGGGAAUCUUCCGCAAUGGGCGAAAGCCUGACGGAGCAACGCCGCGUGAGUGAUGAAGGUCUUCGGAUCGUAAAACUCUGUUAUUAGGGAAGAACAAACGUGUAAGUAACUGUGCACGUCUUGACGGUACCUAAUCAGAAAGCCACGGCUAACUACGUG
rnacentral:rRNA from 1 species